rnacentral:rRNA from 1 species
AGAGUUUGAUCCUGGCUCAGGACGAACGCUGGCGGCGUGCCUAAUACAUGCAAGUCGAGCGGGGAUUAUGCUUGAUCGCUUCGGUGAGACGGCAUAUAUCCUAGCGGCGGACGGGUGAGUAACGCGUGGGUAAUCUACCUCGUAGUUCGGGAUAACAGGCCGAAAGGCUUGCUAAUACCGGAUGAGUUCAUGCUUAUGCAUAUAGGCAUGAAGAAAGGGCUAGCCCGCUAUGAGAUGAGCCCGCGUCCCAUUAGCUUGUUGGUGGGGUAACGGCCUACCAAGGCAACGAUGGGUAGCCGGCCUGAGAGGGUGUACGGCCACACUGGGACUGAGACACGGCCCAGACUCCUACGGGGGGCAGCAGUAGGGAAUUUUCGGCAAUGGGCGAAAGCCUGACCGAGCGACGCCGCGUGAGGGACGAAGGCCUUCGGGUUGUAAACCUCUGUCUGGGGGGAUGAGAACGGACGGUACCCCCGAAGGAAGCCCCGGCUAACUACGUGCCAGCAGCCGCGGUAAU